GAACGCUGGCGGCAUGCUUUACACAUGCAAGUCGAACGGCAGCGCGGGCUUCGGCCUGGCGGCGAGUGGCGAACGGGUGAGUAAUACAUCGGAACGUGCCCAGUAGUGGGGGAUAGCUCGGCGAAAGCCGGAUUAAUACCGCAUACGACCUGAGGGUGAAAGCGGGGGAUCUUCGGACCUCGCGCUAUUGGAGCGGCCGAUGGCAGAUUAGCUAGUUGGUGGGGUAAAGGCCUACCAAGGCGACGAUCUGUAGCUGGUCUGAGAGGACGACCAGCCACACUGGGACUGAGACACGGCCCAGACUCCUACGGGAGGCAGCAGUGGGGAAUUUUGGACAAUGGGCGAAAGCCUGAUCCAGCAAUGCCGCGUGUGUGAUGAAGGCCUUCGGGUUGUAAAGCACUUUUGGCGGGAACGAAAAGGACUGUGCCAAUACCACGGUUCGAUGACGGUACCCGCAGAAUAAGCACCGGCUAACUACGUG
rnacentral:rRNA from 1 species